UACGGAGGGUGCAAGCGUUAUUCGGAAUUAUUGGGCGUAAAGGGCGCGUAGGCGGUCUCUUAAGUCAGAUGUGAAAGCCCGGGGCUUAACCCUGGAAGCGCAUUUGAAACGAAGGGACUUGAGUAUGGGAGAGGGAAGUGGAAUUCCUGGUGUAGAGGUGAAAUUCGUAGAUAUCAGGAGGAACACCGGUGGCGAAGGCGACUUCCUGGACCAAUACUGACGCUGAGGCGCGAAGGCGUGGGGAGCAAACAGG
rnacentral:rRNA from 1 species